GACGAACGCUGGCGGCGUGCUUAACACAUGCAAGUCGAACGGAAAGGCCCUGCUUUUGUGGGGUGCUCGAGUGGCGAACGGGUGAGUAACACGUGAGUAACCUGCCCUUGACUUUGGGAUAACUUCAGGAAACUGGGGCUAAUACCGGACAGGAGCUCCUGCUGCAUGGUGGGGGUUGGAAAGUUUCGGCGGUUGGGGAUGGACUCGCGGCUUAUCAGCUUGUUGGUGGGGUAGUGGCUUACCAAGGCUUUGACGGGUCGCCGGCCUGAGAGGGUGAACGGCCACAUGAGGACUGCGAUACGGCGCAGAGUCCAACGGGAGGCAACAGUGGGAAGUAUUGCACAGUGAGCGGGAGCCUGUUGCAGCAACGCCGCGUGCGGAAUGACGGCCUUCGGGUUGAGAACCGCUUUCGCCUGUGACGAAGCGGGAGUGACGGUAAUGAGUAAAGAAGCACCGGCUAACUACGUG
rnacentral:rRNA from 1 species